AUAUACUCGGGCUCUUUUGGGUGAAAGCGGCGGACGGGUGAGUAAUGUCUGGGAAACUGCCUGAUGGAGGGGGAUAACUACUGGAAACGGUAGCUAAUACCGCAUAACGUCUUCGGACCAAAGAGGGGGACCUUCGGGCCUCUUGCCAUCAGAUGUGCCCAGAUGGGAUUAGCUAGUAGGUGAGGUAAUGGCUCACCUAGGCGACGAUCCCUAGCUGGUCUGAGAGGAUGACCAGCCACACUGGAACUGAGACACGGUCCAGACUCCUACGGGAGGCAGCAGUGGGGAAUAUUGCACAAUGGGCGCAAGCCUGAUGCAGCCAUGCCGCGUGUGUGAAGAAGGCCUUCGGGUUGUAAAGCACUUUCAGCGGGGAGGAAGGCGGUGAGGUUAAUAACCUCAUCGAUUGACGUUACCCGCAGAAGAAGCACCGGCUAACUCCGUGCCAGCAGCCGCGGUAAUACGGAGGGUGCAAGCGUUAAUCGGAAUGACUGGGCGUAAAGCGCACGCAGGCGGUUUGUUAAGUCAGAUGUGAAAUCCCCGAGCUUAACUUGGGAACUGCAUUUGAAACUGGCAAGCUAGAGUCUUGUAGAGGGGGGUAGAAUUCCAGGUGUAGCGGUGAAAUGCGUAGAGAUCUGGAGGAAUACCGGUGGCGAAAGCGGCCCCCUGGACAAAGACUGACGCUCAUGUGCAAAAGCGUGGGGAGCAAACAGGAUUAGAUACCCCUGGUAGUCCCACGCUGU
rnacentral:rRNA from 1 species